CCUACGUGUGGCAGCAGUGAGGAAUAUUGGUCAAUGGGCGCGAGCCUGAACCAGCCAAGUAGCGUAAAGGAUGACUGCCCUACGGGUUGUAAACUUCUUUUAUAAAGGAAUAAAGUGAGGCACGUGUGCCUUUUUGUAUGUACUUUAUGAAUAAGGAUCGGCUAACGCCGUGCCAGCAGCCGCGGUAAUACGGAGGAUCCGAGCGUUAUCCGGAUUUAUUGGGUUUAAAGGGAGCGUAGAUGGGUUGUUAAGUCAGUUGUGAAAGUUUGCGGCUCAACCGGAAAAUUGCAAUUGAUACUGGCAGCCUUGAGUACAGUUGAGGUAAGCGGAAUUCGUGGUGUAGCGGUGAAAUGCUUAGAUAUCACGAAGAACGCCGAUUGCGAAGGCAGUUCACUGGACUGCAACUGACACUGAGGCUCGAAAGUGUGGGUAUCAAACAGGAUUAGAUACCCCUGUAGUC
rnacentral:rRNA from 1 species